rnacentral:rRNA from 1 species
UAGCGUAGGGUGCAAGCGUUGUCCGGAAUUAUUGGGCGUAAAGAGCUCGUAGGCGGUCUGUCGCGUCUGCUGUGAAAACUCAGGGCUUAACCCUGAGCUUGCAGUGGGUACGGGCAGACUAGAGUGCGGUAGGGGAGACUGGAAUUCCUGGUGUAGCGGUGAAAUGCGCAGAUAUCAGGAGGAACACCGGUGGCGAAGGCGGCUAUCUGGACAGAGUCUGACGCUGAAGGCGCGAAAGCUAGGGGAGCAAACAGG